UGUUCCCGGCGUGUUAUCGUUGCUCCGCGCGAGGCAGUAUUAUCAGUCAGUGCUAUCGUGUCCACUAUUGCACGUUGUCCGUCACGAUUACGAUUCUAUUUACGAUAACCGGCGAUAUCGUUUAAAAGCAGCAACAUGCGGUUAUUUCGUAAUUUCAUUUCAACAAUGACAACCAAACGUAUGCUUCAUUCGGGGAGUGGUGAUCAAAAUCACGACCAGCAGCUAAAAAACAUCAUUUAUGCAAUUCAGAAAAUCUUCCAACUAUAUAAAUUGUAUAGCACUUUAGUGACUAUCUACGUUUCGUGUAUGAGGGAAAGAUUUGAAGAAACUAUCGUACUCCAG